CUCUAUGGCAGAGUCAGGAUUGGAUAACCGUAAGGUCCCCGGAUCCAAGGCUGGCUCCAGAUAGUAUGCCCGUAAAUCCUCCCAGAAAGAUGGGGUCUCACUAUGAGAAGGAAACACUUACAAUGUUAAAUGAACAAAGCAGGAUUUGCAAACAAAAGAGAUAAGCGAACUCCAUGCUGCUUUUCAGGGACAACUUUGCUGCAAGCUCUCAGAAGGCUCGCUGUACACCUGGCCUGUGCUGGACACUGGGGAGUAGCUGAGGAAGCCAUGCUCUGUGUGCUCA